rnacentral:tRNA from 1 species
UGCUCAAAUAGUUUAAGUAAAACGUCGGUUUGUGAAUCCGAAGAUAUAAGUUAUUAUUUCGGGCAG